rnacentral:lncRNA from 1 species
UAAUUAUGCCACCGGUCAACGCUUACGUUGAGAAAUUUGAGGCAUUUAUUGUCCGGAAUAUAUUAGCAACCGCUGGAAGCUGCACUAUCAAGAGAAAAUGCGCAUAUUCUCUUCAUGUAUUUCAUGGAGCUAUUGCUCUUUUAGUAUUCAACAUAGUAUACUAUAGUACCAUUUUUGUCCGGAAUAUUCCUCAACAACUACUUAAUAGAAUUCUUUGAAAUUCAUAGGAAGCUUCAUUCUGAAGAGAAGAUGUGCAUAUUGUCUUCAUGUUCCGGUCGGAUGAUAUUUCACUGAUUUUUUUUUGCCCUUUGAUUAUUUAACAUUAGUGUACUAUAGUAUCAUUGCUUGUCCUCAUCACAAGUACUCCGUGCCAGGAGGCCCUGAAAAUAAACAACUUGUUAGACUAGAUUGUUUUUGGCUUUUCCAGAAUCUUCUUUUUAUUCUUGGAAAUACAUGAAUGUUCUGGAACCUUCCAUGAUACUUUAAAUAGCAAAUUGUCUGAGUACCGUAAGAUCUUGUUGAAAAAACUUUUCUGUAUGUCUAGCUUGGACAUUUAACGUUUUAAGGAUUUACAUUAACAUUGUGGUUUUCAACAUUUAACUUUGAAGAGUUGAUUUCUAUACUUUGAAUAUACUUAAUUCAGUUUGGAAUCUUUGUGAACGAUUUUGGAAUUCAUACUGAUUGAAUUUAAAUGUGACCCGAACAGGAUUUGGACUAUUCUUGCAUAUUAGAUUGGAUUUUACGACUGUGAAAUGUGCAUGCUGACUUUGUGAACACUGCGCCGUAGUGUAGUCAUGUUCGGAUAUAAUCCGCCAAGAAAGGAACAUCACAGAAUGGACUGUGUGUCAUGAUAUAGAAAUAAAGAAGUAAAACUGUCAUUGGAAACUGUUCAGAGGUACACAUCGAUGCAUUUGAUAUCCAGAAAUUAGGAAGGGAUCCACGCAUUUUUAUUCGUUUAAAAUAGACCGCUGUUUUACGGGUCCGAAUUCGGUAUGAAAUACAUGGGCAUGAAUAUAUUUGCGGAGACUGGGGACUGUUGUAAUAGAAUCCGCUCUAACGCCACGUUACAACGCGCGCAGUUCAUGGUUAACGGCAAGUAAAAUACACGUAUCGGAUACGACGUUGUGAUGUAUGCAAAUUAUUAUGGUGUUGUGAAAACUGGUAAAAUGGAUUUCUUGUAUUUUGUGUAUAUUCAU